rnacentral:rRNA from 1 species
GUCCAGACUCCUACGGGAGGCAGCAGUGGGGAAUAUUGGGCAAUGGGCGCAAGCCUGACCCAGCAACGCCGCGUGAAGGAAGAAGGCUUUCGGGUUGUAAACUUCUUUUGUCAGGGAAGAGUAGAAGACGGUACCUGACGAAUAAGCCACGGCUAACUACGUGCCAGCAGCCGCGGUAAUACGUAGGUGGCAAGCGUUGUCCGGAUUUACUGGGUGUAAAGGGCGUGUAGCCGGGUUGACAAGUCAGAUGUGAAAUCCUGCGGCUUAACCGCAGAACUGCAUUUGAAACUGUUGGUCUUGAGUAUCGGAGAGGCAGGCGGAAUUCCUAGUGUAGCGGUGAAAUGCGUAGAUAUUAGGAGGAACACCAGUGGCGAAGGCGGCCUGCUGGACGACAACUGACGGUGAGGCGCGAAAGCGUGGGGAGCAAACAGGAUUAGAUACCCCUGUAUC